rnacentral:tRNA from 1 species
GUGGAUGUAGCUCAGUUGGUUAGAGCACCAGAUUGUGGUUCUGGGGGUCGUGGGUUCAAAUCCCAUCUUCCACCCCA